AGGAUGAAGAUGAGGACAUGGACAAGGAUGAAGAAUCCCGUAAUGAUGCACCUGAUGAUGGUGAUGAUGCAGGUGAGGUACGCACUCCAGAUGAGACAGGCAAAGGGUACAAUCUCAGGGUUGAUCUGCCUCGUCGUAGCGCUAAUCGAUUCACUCCAUCUGUGUUCAAAAAGGCCGCCAAGAAAUACAAGAAUAUUGUGAAAGAUGUAAAGUGGACAAUGAGAAAGUGAAUGUUGUGUAGUUAACAUUUUCUAUGUAUCAGUUAACUUUUCUAUGUAUCAAUUAACUGUUCUAUGUAUCACUUACUAUGUAUCAAGUUAUAAUGUUUCAAAUGUCGUUAAUUUU